rnacentral:tRNA from 1 species
GGGGCUGUAGCCAAACAAGCAAAGGCGCCGGCCUAGCAAAACCGGCAAUUGCUGGGUGAGAAUCCCGUCAGCCCCUCCA